rnacentral:rRNA from 1 species
AGCUUGCUCCUCUGAUCAGUGGCGAACGGGUGAGUAACACGUGAGCAACCUGCCCCGGAAUCUGGGAUAACUUAUGGAGACAGCUGCUAAUACCGGAUACGAGACGGAGAGGCAUCUCUACCGUUUGGAAAGUUUUUCGGUCUGGGAUGGAAUCGCGGUCUAUUUACUAGUUGGUGAGGUAAUGGCUCACCAAGGCGACGACGGGUAGCCGGCCUGAGAGGGCGACCGGCCACACUGGGACUGAGACACGGCCAGACUCCUACGGGAGGCAGCAGUGGGGAAUAUUGCACAAUGGGCGAAAGCCUGAUGCAGCGACGCCGCGUGAGGGAUGACGGCCUUCGGGUUGUAAACCUCUUUCAGCAGGGAAGAAGCCGAAAGUGACGGUACCCUGCAGAAGAAGCACCCGGCUAACUACGUGCCAGCAGCCGCGGUAAUACGUAGGGUGCGAGCGUUGUCCGGAAUUAUUGGGCGUAAAGAGCUUGUAGGCGGUUUGUCGCGUCUGCAGUGAAAAUCCGAGGCUCAACCUCGGACUUGCUGUGGGUACGGGCAGACUAGAGUAUGGUAGGGGAGACCGGAAUUCCUGGUGUAGCGGUGGAAUGCGCAGAUAUCAGGAGGAACACCGAUGGCGAAGGCAGGUCUCUGGGCCAUAACUGACGCUGAGAAGCGAAAGCAUGGGGAGCGAACAGGAUUAGAUACCCUG